GGUCGCAUAGCUCAGUUGGUUAGAGCGCGCCGUUCACAUCGGCGAGGUCCCUGGUCCGAGUCCAGGUGCGACCACCA
rnacentral:tRNA from 1 species